CGGGGAGUAGCUCAGGCUGGUAGAGUGUCUGCUUUGGGAGCAGAAAGUCGCAGGUUCGAAUCCUGUCUCCCCGACCA
rnacentral:tRNA from 3 species